AUGGCCAAGACAGUUUCAAUCUUUAUUCACAAAAAGAAAAACUCACCAGAAAAUUCUCAGCAACUUCUCAUCUAUCUUCUUAUCAAUCUUCAACCUCCACGCAACUUCAACCUUCAAUUCUCUCAUCUCUCUGUAAGACUUAAAGCUCUUCACACUUCAUCUUUAUCAAUACCGCACCAACCUCGCUUCUCUGCAGUACCUCUUCAAUUUUCUGCUUCAUCAACAACGCUCAACAAUGCAACAUCACACGACGCUCUGAAUAAGAACAGAUCACACGUAUCAGAAUCACACAUCAACGCGACGAAAACUCAGAAAUCGCAAAAGCAAAAAUUAAAGAAGAAGAGGAGCGGCGAAUUUGAAAGGAGACGAGGAGAAGUGAGGCUGAGACGGAGGCGUUGGCUGGUCAGAGCGGACGAAACUCGUCGGAGAAGAGAAGGAAGUUAUCGUUCAUGA